CUGUGGUGGUCAGUAUGAGGUUCUUUAUUCAACUAACUUAUCUAAUCCAACGGUCCAAAACACCUUUCAUUUUCUUGGCCAAGGUUCCUUCCUUCACCCGGAGUCCAAAAGUCACUUGAUUCUUUCUGGGGGGUCAUAUUUUCUUUAUCAGCAGCAAACCUUUGAAGGAAAGAAACAAAAAAAGAAGAAAAAUGGUUCCUCAUACGAUUGAUUUGUUGAAGGAGCAGCUUCCCGUGAACCAAGAAUCCGUGCUGCUCACCGGUCACACCACCACCGGCCUUGUCCUCGUCGACCUCGUUAAUGGCUUCUGCACCGUUGGUGCUGGCAAUUUGGCACCAAGACAGCCUGAUAAGCAAAUAUCUGAAAUGGUGGAAGAGUCAGUGAGACUAGCCAGAGUUUUCUGUGACAAGAAAUGGCCUGUCUUUGCUUUCCUUGAUUCUCAUCACCCUGACAUUCCCGAGCAUCCUUACCCUCCUCAUUGCAUUGUUGGAACUGAUGAAUCAAAUCUAGUCCCAGACCUGCAAUGGUUGGAGAACGAACCAAAUGUGACACUUAGGCGCAAAGAUUGCAUUAACGGGUUUCUAGGAUCGAUUGAGAAAGAUGGCUCUAAUCUGUUUGUUAAUUGGGUUCAAAGUAAUCAGAUAAAAGCUAUCUUGGUUGUAGGAAUAUGCACGGAUAUAUGUGUGCUAGACUUUGUAUGUACCACUUUGUCUGCAAGAAAUCAUCGUCUCCUUGCCCCUCUGGAGGAUGUCAUUGUGUAUUCCCGUGGGUGUGCCACUUUUGAUCUUCCAGUUGAGAUUGCAAAAACUGCCAAAGAUGUUAUAACUCAUCCCCAGGAGCUGAUGCAUCACAUAGGCCUUUACAUGGCCAAAGGAAGAGGAGCGAAGUUAGUGUCAGAAGUGUCAUUCGACACAAAAGAGCCAUGAUCCUAUAGAGAUUGGCAGUGAAGCCUUCUCUUUCGCGAGGGAUGCCAGCUUCUAAAGAGUGAAAGGAUGUUCUCUAUAUGGGGCCACAACGGAGAAGAUUGAUCGCUUUUGCUUCUUUGGUGUGACGCCAAAUAUAAAUGACCUCAAGGGAACUCGUGAACGACUCUCAGAGUGAGCCAGCUGUGGAGGCGGUUGCUUCUUUGAUCCAACGAGCCUGUAAUCCUCGUUCAACUUUGCCAUAGUUUUCUCUAUUUCAAUUUGGAGUGCGUUGACAUGAUCCAAUCCUGCUUGCAACUCAUCUGCAACCUUGUUAUUCUCUUGUUUCAUAUUUAAAAUCUCGCCUUGGAACUUUGCAGCUUGGUAGCUUGUAAACUUGAAGUCACCAUCCUCAGCACUCGUCUUCAGAGCCUUUGUUAUUUCUUCUUGAAUGUCGCACAAAGACGUGAAUCUGCACUGCAGUUCGUCUUUCAGUA